rnacentral:rRNA from 1 species
CUAAAUAAGAGUUUGAUCCUGGCUCAGGAUGAACGCUGGCGGCGUGCUUUAUACAUGCAAGUCGUGCGCUCGUGCCUCGCUAUCGCUCAGCACUCACUAAAUGUAAAGUUCAAAAAUCAAAGUGUAAAAUUUAUGUAUCGCUUCGCGAUUAUUAUGUAGUUGUCUCGAAGAGACUCAAUAAUUUUGCAUUUUAAUAUUUACAUUUUGAUUUUGAGUGCCGAACGGCAGUGAGGCACGGGAGCGGCAAACGGGUGAGUAAUACGUAGGAACGACCAAUAAGUUUGGGAUAACCCUCCGAAAGGAGAGCUAAUACCAAAUGUUUCCGCAAGGAAAAAGUGCAUCGCAAGAUGUACGCUUAUUGCUCGGCCUGCGGCCUAUCAGCUAGUUGGUGGGGUAAAGGCCUACCAAGGCGAUGACGGGUAGCUGGUCUGAGAGGAUGACCAGCCACAUGGGCACUGGGACACGGGCCCAACUCCUACGGGAGGCAGCAGUAGGGAAUAUUGGACAAUGGGCGAAAGCCUGAUCCAGCGACGCCGCGUGGAGGAUGAAGGCCUUCGGGUUGUAAACUCCUUUUCUCUGGGACGAAUUUCUGACGGUACCAGAGGAAUAAGAGGUUGCUGACUCUGUGCCAGCAGCAGCGGUAAUACAGAGACCUCAAGCGUUAUCCGGAAUCACUGGGCGUAAAGCGUUCCGAUAGGCGGACUAAAAAGUCUGAGGUUAAAUCCAGAGGCUCAACUUCUGGUGUACCUUGGAUACUGUUAGUCUAGAGGGGCAAAGAGGUGCUUGGAACGAACGGUGUAGCAGUGAAAUGCGUUGAUAUCGUUCGGAACACCAAUAGCGAAGGCAGAGCACUGGGUGCCACCUGACGCUGCUAGGACGAAAGCGUGGGGAGUGAAUGGGAUUAGAUAAAUCCCGGCCGCACUCGUAAAACAAUUGGCCGAAGGGUGUCCCUCCCGACAGCAAUGUCGGGAUGCGCACUUGGCUAUAUCGGUGAAAACCCAUAACAUUAUCAGGUUAUUACUGCCUGGUUAUGGACAAUACCGAGGGAAGUCAGUGCAUUUGCUUCGGCAAAUGCUAAAUGCAAAAAUCAAAUUGGAAAAUGUAAAAUUUAGGUGUUGCCUUCGGCAACUUCUAAAUAAAUCAUGAGCAUAAGCGAAUACAUACAUUUUGCAUUUUGAACUUUAAACUUUGAAUUUAGCGAGCAUUAGCUCGCGCUUGACCCCGUAGAGACUACACGCCGAGGCCGCCGAUGAGGCGACAUGAUAUAGUCCGAUCCUCACAGUAAUGUGAGCGUUUGCAAUAAUUUUUAAUUUUGCAUUGUCAUUUUGAUUUUUGACCUUUGCAUUUUGAAAUUUAUUGCGAAGCAAUAGUUGACCCCAGUAAUCCACGCUGUAAACGAUGAUGACUAGGCAUAGGAGAGUAUCGACCCUUUUCUGUGCCGAAGCUAACGCGUUAAGUCAUCCGCCUGGGGAGUACGGCCGCAAGGCUAAAACUCAAAGGAAUUGACGGGGAUCUGCACAAGCGGUGGAGCAUGUGGUUUAAUUCGACGAUAAGCGAGGAACCUUACCCAGACUUGACAUUGCACUGCAUACGUUGGAAACAACGUAGCCUUCGAGGGUGUGCAACAGGUGCUGCACGGUUGUCGUCAGCUCGUGUCGUGAGAUGUUGCCUUAAGUGGCAGAACGAGCGCAACCCUUGUCUCGUGUUACUAUGUCACGAGAGACUGCCAGGGUUUAACCUGGAGGAAGGUGGGGAUGACGUCAAAUCAGCGUGGCUCUUACGUCUGGGGCGACACACGUGCUACAAUGGGGUGCAACAAAGGGACGCCAAGUCGCAAGAUGGAGCAAAUCCCGUAAAACCACCCCUCAGUUCGGAUUGCGGGCUGCAACUCGCCCGCAUGAAGCUGGAAUCGCUAGUAACCGUGGAUCAGCCUCGCCACGGUGAAUACGUUCUCAGAUUUUGUACACACCGCCCGUCACACCAUGGAAGCGAGUAGUACCCAAAGCUUAUCGCAAGAUGAGUUAAGGUAAGACCCGUGACUGGGGUGAAGUCGUAACAAGGCAUCGGUAGCGGAAGCUGUCGAUGGAUCACCUCCUUU